rnacentral:lncRNA from 1 species
AACGGAUCUCCAAGGGCUUUUGGGCUUGAUCUUGAAGAACAGUGAUGAACAGAUCUUCAAGUGCUUUUGGGCUUAAUCUUGAAGAACGGUUGGAUGUGUGGAUUUGUCGACGUUUGUUGAUCCAAAGGGCCGUUGGGGCUUGAUCUUGGAUGAACGGAUGAUGAACGAUGGUGCUUUCUUCAAGGGCCGUCGGGGCUUGAUCUUGAAUUGGUGGAUGGUUGAUCUAAGGGGCCGUUGGGGCUUGAUCUUGGAAGAACGAUGAACGAAGAAUGAGGAACACUUUCUUCAAGGGCCGUCGGGGCUUGAUCUUGAAUUGGCGGAUGAUUGUUGAUCCAAAGGGCCGUUGGGGCUUGAUCUUAGGAUGAACGAUGAACGAAGAACGCUUUCUUGAUUCUUCGGGGACCUGGAUGCUUG